AUACUCUGCGUAGCAAUACGUAGAGUGUUCAGUGGCGUAAGGGUGCGUAACACGUGGGCAAUCUGCCCUGGAGCGCGGGAUAGCUCGGCGAAAGCCGAAUUAAUACCGCAUGUGGCUAUUGGGGGAGUCCCCGAGACGCUAAAGACGGCGCAAGCUGUCACUCCUGGAUGAGCCCGCGGCCUAUCAGCUAGUUGGUGAGGUAACGGCUCACCAAGGCAAUGACGGGUAGCUGGUCUGAGAGGACGACCAGCCACACUGGAACUGAGACACGGUCCAGACACCUACGGGUGGCAGCAGUCGAGAAUUUUUCUCAAUGGGCGCAAGCCUGAAGGAGCGACGCCGCGUGGAGGAUGAAGGCCUUCGGGUUGUAAACUCCUGUCAUUUGGGAACAAACCUUCCGGGUAACUACCGGAAGACUGAUAGUACCAGAAGAGGAAGAGACGGCUAACUCUGUGCCAGCAACCGCGGUAAUACAGAGGUCUCAACCGUUGUUCGGAUUCAUUGGGCGUAAAGGGUGCGUAGGCGGUCGCGCAAGUCGGAUGUGAAAUCUCAGGGCUCAACCCUGAAACUGCAUUCGAUACUGCGUGGCUCGAGUACUGGAGAGGAGACUGGAAUUUACGGUGUAGCAGUGAAAUGCGUAGAUAUCGUAAGGAAGACCAGUGGCGAAGGCGAGUCUCUGGACAGUUACUGACGCUGAGGCACGAAGGCCAGGGGAGCAAACGGGAUUAGAUACCCCGGUAGUCCUGGCAGUAAACGGUGCACGUUUGGUGUAGGCGGAUUCGACCCCGCCUGUGCCGGAGCUAACGCGUUAAACGUGCCGCCUGGGAAGUACGGUCGCAAGAUUAAAACUCAAAGAAAUUGACGGGGGCCCGCACAAGCGGUGGAGUAUGUGGCUUAAUUC
rnacentral:rRNA from 1 species